UACGUAGGGUGCGAGCGUUAAUCGGAAUUACUGGGCGUAAAGCGUGCGCAGGCGGUUUUUUAAGCCAGGUGUGAAAUCCCCGGGCUCAACCUGGGAAUGGCAUUUGGGACUGCAAGGCUGGAGUUUGGCAGAGGAGACUGGAAUUCCUGGUGUAGCAGUGAAAUGCGUAGAUAUCAGGAGGAAUACCGAUGGCGAAGGCAGGUCUCUGGGCUGACACUGACGCUCAUGCACGAAAGCGUGGGGAGCAAACAGG
rnacentral:rRNA from 1 species